AUUACUUUCUGUAGCAAUACAGAAGUAAUUUAGUGGCGAACGGGUGCGUAACACGUGGGCAAUCUGCCGAAAAGUGGGGGAUAGCUCGCCGAAAGGCGAAUUAAUACCGCAUGUGGUGAGGAAAGACAUCUCUCUGAAUCCAAAGCCGGGGCAACCUGGCGCUUUUUGAGGAGCCCGCGGCCUAUCAGCUAGUUGGUGAGGUAACGGCUCACCAAGGCUAUGACGGGUAGCUGGUCUGACAGGACGACCAGUCACACUGGAACUGAGACACGGUCCAGACACCUACGGGUGGCAGCAGUCGAGAAUUUUUCUCAAUGGGGGAAACCCUGAAGGAGCGACGCCGCGUGGAGGAUGAAGGCUUUCGGGUUGUAAACUCCUGUCAUUUGAGAACAAGGUGCGAGUAUUAACUGUACUCGCAUUGAUAGUAUCAGAAGAGGAAGGGGCGGCUAACUCUGUGCCAGCAGCCGCGGUAAUACAGAGGUCCCAAGCGUUGUUCGGAUUCAUUGGGCGUAAAGGGUGCGUAGGUGGCGCCGUAAGUCGGGCGUGAAAUUUCGGAGCUUAACUCCGAAACUGCAUUCGAUACUGCGGUGCUUGAGGACUGGAGAGGAGACUGGAAUUUCAUGGUGUAGCAGUGAAAUGCGUAGAGAUCAUGAGGAAGACCAGUGGCGAAGGCGGGUCUCUGGACAGUUCCUGACACUGAGGCACGAAGGCCAGGGGAGCAAACGGGAUUAGAUACCCCGGCUAGUCCUGGCAGUAAACGGUGCACGUGUGGUGUGGGAGGAUUCUACCCCUUCCGCGCCGGAGCUAACGCGUUAAACGUGCCGGCUGGGAGUACGGUCGCAAGAUUAAAACUCAAAGAAAUUGACGGGGGCCCGCACAAGCGGUGGAGUAUGUUGGAUUAUGUCGAU
rnacentral:rRNA from 1 species